UACGUAGGGUGCAAGCGUUAAUCGGAAUUACUGGGCGUAAAGCGUGCGCAGGCGGUUUUGUAAGACAGGCGUGAAAUCCCCGGGCUUAACCUGGGAACUGCAUUUGUGACUGCAAGGCUAGAGUACGGCAGAGGGGGAUGGAAUUCCGCGUGUAGCAGUGAAAUGCGUAGAUAUGCGGAGGAACACCAAUGGCGAAGGCAAUCCCCUGGGCCUGUACUGACGCUCAUGCACGAAAGCGUGGGGAGCAAACAGG
rnacentral:rRNA from 1 species